AUUGAACGCUGGCGGCAUGCUUUACACAUGCAAGUCGAACGGUAACAGGCCGCAAGGUGCUGACGAGUGGCGAACGGGUGAGUAAUGCAUCGGAACGUGCCCAGUCGUGGGGGAUAACGCAGCGAAAGCUGCGCUAAUACCGCAUACGAUCUCUGGAUGAAAGCGGGGGACCGUAAGGCCUCGCGCGAUUGGAGCGGCCGGCGUCAGAGUAGGGAGGUGGUGGGGUAAAGGCUCACCAAGCCAACGAUCUGUAGCUGGGCUGAGAGGACGGCCAGCCACACUGGGACUGAGAGACGGCCCAGACUCCUACGGGAGGCAGCAGUGGGGAAGUUUGGACAAUGGGCGCAAGCCUGAUCCAGCAAUGCCGCGUGCAGGAAGAAGGCCUUCGGGUUGUAAACUGCUUUUGUACGGAACGAAAAGGCUCUGGUUAAUACCUGGGGCUCAUGACGGUACCGUAAGAAUAAGCACCGGCUAACUACGUGCCAGCAGCCGCAGUAAAAC
rnacentral:rRNA from 1 species